rnacentral:lncRNA from 1 species
AUGCUAGCGCUCAUCUGCCGCCUGCCGGACGGUCCCCUUCGCUCGUCUGGAAGGAGGAGAUGGAGCCGAUGCUCGUGGGCUGCAGUACUCGGGCAAGGCCACCUUCGUCACUGCCAUCACGUCAGGUGAAUUCAGCGGAGAUAUGACGGCCACAGUGGGUUUCAACACGAGGAAAGUAACUAAAGGUCAUGUCACAAUAAAGAUCCAGGACCGGCCGGGCGGAGCCGAGAUCGCGCCACGUCACUCCAGCCCGUGUGACAGCGACGAGUCAAGGCUAUUGUUUACAGGAUAGAUGCUGCAGAUCGUAAGAAGAUAGAAGCUUCCCGAAACGAGCUACAUAAUCU